rnacentral:rRNA from 1 species
AGAGUUUGAUCAUGGCUCAGAGCGAACGCUGGCGGCAGGCUUAACACAUGCAAGUCGAGCGGGUGUAGCAAUACAUCAGCGGCAGACGGGUGAGUAACGCGUGGGAACGUACCUUUUGGUUCGGAACAACCCAGGGAAACUUGGGCUAAUACCGGAUAAGCCCUUACGGGGAAAGAUUUAUCGCCGAAAGAUCGGCCCGCGUCUGAUUAGCUAGUUGGUGAGGUAAUGGCUCACCAAGGCGACGAUCAGUAGCUGGUCUGAGAGGAUGAUCAGCCACAUUGGGACUGAGACACGGCCCAAACUCCUACGGGAGGCAGCAGUGGGGAAUAUUGGACAAUGGGGGCAACCCUGAUCCAGCCAUGCCGCGUGAGUGAUGAAGGCCCUAGGGUUGUAAAGCUCUUUUGUGCGGGAAGAUAAUGACGGUACCGCAAGAAUAAGCCCCGGCUAACUUCGUGCCAGCAGCCGCGGUAAUACGAAGGGGGCUAGCGUUGCUCGGAAUCACUGGGCGUAAAGGGUGCGUAGGCGGGCCUUUAAGUCAGGGGUGAAAUCCUGGAGCUCAACUCCAGAACUGCCUUUGAUACUGAAGAUCUUGAGUCCGGGAGAGGUGAGUGGAACUGCGAGUGUAGAGGUGAAAUUCGUAGAUAUUCGCAAGAACACCAGUGGCGAAGGCGGCUCACUGGCCCGGGUACUGACGCUGAGGCACGAAAGCGUGGGGAGCAAACAGGAUUAGAUACCCUAGUAGUCC